UACGAAGGGGGCUAGCGUUGCUCGGAAUUACUGGGCGUAAAGGGCGCGUAGGCGGGUCGUUUAGUUAGAGGUGAAAGCCCAGGGCUCAACCCUGGAAUUGCCUUUAAUACUGGCGGCCUUGAGUAUGGCAGAGGUGUGUGGAACUCCGAGUGUAGAGGUGAAAUUCGUAGAUAUUCGGAAGAACACCAGUGGCGAAGGCGACACACUGGGCCAUUACUGACGCUGAGGCGCGAAAGCUAGGGGAGCAAACAGG
rnacentral:rRNA from 1 species